AUUCGAUGCAACGCGAAGAACCUUACCAGGGCUUGACAUAUCCAGGAAUAUAUAAGGAGHUUAUAUAGCUCUACGGAGUCUGUAUACAGGUGGUGCAUGGUUGUCGUCAGCUCGUGUCGUGAGAUGUUGGGUUAAGUCCCGUAACGAGCGCACCCCCUAUGAUUAGUUGCUAACAUUCAGUUGAGGACUCUAAUCAGACUGCCGUUGAUAAAACGGAGGAAGGUGGGGACGACGUCAAAUCAUCAUGCUCCUUAUGUCCUGGGCUACACACGUACUACAAUGGGCAAGACAGAGGGCAGCGAAGCGGUGACGCUAAGCAAAUCCCAAAACUUGUUCUCAGUUCGGAUUGAAGUCUGAAACUCGACUUCAUGAAGCUGGAAUUGCUAGUAAUGGCAGGUCAGCAUACUGCCGUGAAUACGUUCCCGGGCCUAGUACAC
rnacentral:rRNA from 1 species